rnacentral:misc_RNA from 1 species
AACUUCUCAACCACAUUCGUUCAUUGAUUGUGGCUUGGAUGGUGGGGGUUUAUUUGCAGGCUUCUUCUGUGAAAACAGAAAGGUCGGCUCCCCUGAAAUGUAUCAGUGGUAUCUGAGGCUAUUGCUAUAGGUGUGAUAAUUAUCUAUGCCCUUGGUAUGCCGCAUGGAACUGCUUCCAACAGAGAUGAUCUUUUUGAUGA